AAGCAUCCCAACACCUAUAUUCAUGGUUGUCCUUGUCAUGUGGCACAUAACACUGCCAAAGCUGCAGGAGUGGGAUUUUUUAAAGUGAGUUAAGGUCUUUACAUGUAACUUUUUAUUUGAAUCCUAAUUACAUGCAUUGACUGAUUAUGAUUUGAUUAAUUGCAGGUGUCCCAUUUUGAUUUGGAGGACAUGAUAGUGGACAUCGGUUACUGGUUCAAGGGUAGCACAAAUCGGAAAGGAUACCUGAGAGGUAUGCAUGUUUGAUACUAUUAAAUGUAAUAUUGAAAUGCUGAGCUGUAGAAAAUAAAUUAUAUGGAAUUAAAUGUCUGGAACAGAGUUUUGUGAGCUCCAUGAAGCGGAGUACAUGGAGGUCCUCCUCCAUGUCUCGGUUUGUUGGCUAAGCCUUGAACGCUGUGUGACCAGGAUCCUGAGGCUUUAUGAACCUCUGGCCAGCUACUUCAAAUCUGCUGGUAUGGUCAUCAUUUAUCUAUUUCAUUAUGCAGCAACUACAUGGAUUGUUAGUCACAUACUUGUAUUAUUGAUAACCUCUUGUUUUGUGUUAUUUAUUGAUUGAUUCAAGAUGAAAACCAGGCCAGGUUCAAGAGGCUUGUGCAGACGUUCACUGACCCCAUGACAGAAGUGUACCUGUUGUUCUUUCAAGCCACCGUUCCAACUUUCACUACUUUCAACUUGCUUCUACAAAGAGAGCGGUCAUCAAUAUUUAUGUUGUAUGAUGAGAUGGAGAAAUUUGUACGCAAGCUUUGUUCAAAGUUCAUUGUUCCAGCAGCUCUGCAGGGCCUUGAGGAGCCUGGUGACAUUGCCUUUGGGGAGACGGCAAACCAUUUGCCAGGAAGAAAGUUGAACAUUGGGUUCACAACCAGGGCUAAACUCAACAGGCUACUUGACGAGGGUGACAUCACACCACAGCAGGUGGAUUCAUUCCAUGAAGCUGUGUUAUGUUUCCUGACAAGUGCUGUGGCCUAUGCACUAAAGAAGCUGCCACUGAAAGAGCCACUGCUCAAACAUUCAAAAUUUGUAGACGUACGGCAGAGGGCUGAAAGUGACAUCAGAGAUGUCCUGUACUUUGUUGAAAGGUUCGUUUUUUUCCCUCUAAUUAUUGUCUAUCAUCUUAGCUAAAAUAUCCUGCUUUUUAUGAUGAUAUAUGUUCACUCCUAAACAUGAGCUAUUCUUAUAUGGCUUCUCCUCAAAGAUGCGUAUGAACUGCUGUUGGUUGAUGACCCUCAUCCUCAUC